rnacentral:rRNA from 1 species
UACAGAGGUCCCGAGCGUUGUUCGGAUUCAUUGGGCGUAAAGGGUGCGUAGGCGGUGGGGUAAGUUGGAUGUGAAAUCUUGGGGCUUAACCUCAAAAUUGCAUUCAAUACUGCUCCGCUCGAGUUCUGUAGAGGAGAUUGGAAUUUACGGUGUAGCAGUGAAAUGCGUAGAUAUCGUAAGGAACGCCAGUGGCGAAAGCGAAUCUCUGGGCAGCAACUGACGCUGAGGCACGAAGGCCGGGAGGCAAACGGG